rnacentral:rRNA from 1 species
UUGACAUCCAGCGAACUUGGCAGAGAUGCCUUGGUGCCUUCGGGAACGCUGGGACAGGUGCUGCAUGGCUGUCGUCAGCUCGUGUUGUGAAAUGUUGGGUUAAGUCCCGNAACGAGCGCAACCCUUAUCCUUUGUUGCCAGCGAUUCGGUCGGGAACUCAAAGGAGACUGCCGGUGAUAAACCGGAGGAAGGUGGGGAUGACGUCAAGUCAUCAUGGCCCUUACGAGUAGGGCUACACACGUGCUACAAUGGCGCAUACAAAGAGAAGCGACCUCGCGAGAGCAAGCGGACCUCAUAAAGUGCGUCGUAGUCCGGAUCGGAGUCUGCAACUCGACUCCGUGAAGUCGGAAUCGCUAGUAAUCGUGGAUCAGAAUGCCACGGUGAAUACGUUCCCGGGCCUUGUACACACCGCCCGUCACACCAUGGGAGUGGGUUGCAAAAGAAGUAGGUAGCUUAACCUCCGGGAGGGCGCUUACCACUUUGUGAUUCAUGACUGGGGUGAAGUCGUAACAAGGUAAGCGUAGCGAG